rnacentral:rRNA from 1 species
CCUACGGGAGGCAGCAGUGGGGAAUAUUGGACAAUGGGCGAAAGCCUGAUCCAGCAAUGCCGCGUGAGUGAUGAAGGCCUUAGGGUUGUAAAGCUCUUUUACCAGGGAUGAUAAUGACAGUACCUGGAGAAUAAGCUCCGGCUAACUCCGUGCCAGCAGCCGCGGUAAUACGGAGGAAGCUAGCGUUGUUCGGAAUUACUGGGCGUAAAGCGUACGUAGGCGGUUAUUCAAGUCAGAGGUGAAAGCCUGGAGCUCAACUCCAGAACUGCCUUUGAAACUAGGUAGCUAGAAUCACGGAGAGGUUAGUGGAAUUCCGAGUGUAGAGGUGAAAUUCGUAGAUAUUCGGAAGAACACCAGUGGCGAAGGCGACUAACUGGACGUGUAUUGACGCUGAGGUACGAAAGCGUGGGGAGCAAACAGGAUUAGAUACCCUGGUAGUCCACGCCGUAAACGAUGAUAACUAGCUGUUCGGUCUCUACGAGACUGAGUGGCGCAGCUAACGCAUUAAGUUAUCCGCCUGGGGAGUACGGUCGCAAGAUUAAAACUCAAAAGGAAUUGACGG